GUGAAGUUGAUCACAAGCAAACAUAUACCCCUUUGUUUGACCGUGAAAAAUUUCUCCCAUCCCCUUUGUUCGUAUUUAUAGAGAAAAACCCCUGUAGCCCGUUGCUACAGGGGUUUU
rnacentral:sRNA from 1 species